rnacentral:rRNA from 1 species
GACGAACGCUGGCGGCGUGCUUAACACAUGCAAGUCGAACGGAAAGGCCCCUUCGGGGGUACUCGAGUCGCGAACAGGUGAGUAACACGUGAGUAACCUGCCCUUGACUUCGGGAUAACUUCAGGAAACUGGGGCUAAUACCGGAUAGGAAUCCUUGCUGCAUGGUGGGGGUUGGAAAGCUUCGGCGGUUUUGGAUGGACUCGCGGCUUAUCAGCUUGUUGGUGGGGUAGUGGCUUACCAAGGCUUUGACGGGUAGCCGGCCUGAGAGGGCGACCGGCCACAUUGGGACUGAGAUACGGCCCAGACUCCUACGGGAGGCAGCAGUGGGGAAUAUUGCACAAUGGGCGGAAGCCUGAUGCAGCAACGCCGCGUGCGGGAUGACGGCCUUCGGGUUGUAAACCGCUUUCAGCAGGGGCGAAGCUUGUGGUGACGGUACCUGCAGAAGAAGCACCGGCUAACUACGUG